AACGAACGCUGGCGGCAGGCUUAACACAUGCAAGUCGAACGCCCCGCAAGGGGCGUGGCAGACGCGUGAGUACCGCGUGGGAACAUACCCUUUCCUGCGGAAUAGCUCCGGGAAACUGGAAUUAAUACCGCAUACGCCCUACGGGGGAAAGAUUUAUCGGGGAAGGAUUGGCCCGCGUUGGAUUAGCUAGUUGGUGGGGUAAAGGCCUACCAAGGCGACGAUCCAUAGCUGGUCUGAGAGGAUGAUCAGCCACAUUGGGACUGAGACACGGCCCAAACUCCUACGGGAAGCAGCAGUGGGGAAUAUUGGACAAUGGGCGCAAGCCUGAUCCAGCCAUGCCGCGUGAGUGAUGAAGGCCUUAGGGUUGUAAAGCUCUUUCACCGAUGAAGAUAAUGACGGUAGUCGGAGAAGAAGCCCCGGCUAACUUCGUG
rnacentral:rRNA from 1 species